CCACGCAAGGAAACCCAGCAUUCCCCCGGGCUGGAUCCUGCCCAGCAGUGAUUGAACAAAGACCACGACCGAUAAUCAACAGGUACUGUCCAACCAUGCUGCCGGUAGCCUAUCCUUUGCGGGUAUUAACAAUGCAACCGCAAGAGCCGCCGCAUUACUUAAGGGUUAACCAGGACUAUCCAUGUGCCUCGUGGGCUCAACACAGGGUGACAGCGUAUACAACUAUAGAUGGUGAUCCCCUCUCCAGAAUAUAGGAGAAGCCGAGAGUACAGAGGCCUCUCAAGAUGUCUAAUAAGCCAUAAGGCAUGACUCCAGACCAACAGCUGAAUGGAUUUUCAGAACAGCCUGGGCCACAGCUGCCGCUUUGUGCCAGCGUCCCAAUUAACAUGUGAUACGCCAGGAAAAUUACGAAUAGGACUUCUUCGGUUACAUUAUUUGAAUAUGUGUGGACGUCAUGUUAACACAUCAGAG